ACGGAAGGCAGCAGUGGGGAAUAUUGCACAAUGGGCGAAAGCCUGAUACAGCGACGCCGCGUGAGUGAUGAAGUAUUUCGGUAUGUAAAGCUCUAUCAGCAGGGAAGAUAAUGACGGUACCUGACUAAGAAGCACCGGCUAAAUACGUGCCAGCAGCCGCGGUAAUACGUAUGGUGCAAGCGUUAUCCGGAUUUACUGGGUGUAAAGGGAGCGCAGGCGGUACGGCAAGUCUGAUGUGAAAGCCCGGGGCUCAACCCCGGUACUGCAUUGGAAACUGUCGAACUAGAGUGUCGGAGGGGUAAGUGGAAUUCCUAGUGUAGCGGUGAAAUGCGUAGAUAUUAGGAGGAACACCAGUGGCGAAGGCGACUUACUGGACGAUAACUGACGCUGAGGCUCGAAAGCGUGGGGAGCAAACAGGAUUAGAUACCCUGGUA
rnacentral:rRNA from 1 species